CUCAGGACGAAUGCUGGCGGUAUGCUUAACACAUGCAAGUCGUACGAGGUUAUUGUUGACUCUCGGGUCAUUGAAUAAACUGCAGUGGCGGACGGGUGCGUAACGCGUAAGAACUUACCUUUUGGUGGGGGAUAACAAUGGGAAACUGUUGCUAAUACCCCAUAAUGCUGAGGAGCUAAAAGUGAAAACUGCCAAGAGAGAGGCUUGCGUCUGAUUAGCUAGUUGGUGGGGGUAAAGGCCUCCCAAGGCGACGAUCAGUAGCUGGUCUGAGAGGAUGAUCAGCCACACUGGGACUGAGACACGGCCCAGACUCCUACGGGAGGCAGCAGUGAGGAAUUUUCCGCAAUGGGCGAAAGCCUGACGGAGCAAUACCGCGUGAAGGAAGAAGGUCCGUGGAUCGUAAACUUCUUUUCUCAAGGAAGAAUCAAUGACGGUACUUGAGGAAUAAGCACCGGCUAACUCUGUGCCAGCCGCGGC
rnacentral:rRNA from 1 species